GUGGGGAAUAUUGGACAAUGGGCGAAAGCCUGAUCCAGCCAUGCCGCGUGUGUGAAGAAGGUCUUCGGAUUGUAAAGCACUUUAAGUUGGGAGGAAGGGUAGUAACCUAAUACGUUGCUACUUUGACGUUACCGACAGAAUAAGCACCGGCUAACUUCGUGCCAGCAGCCGCGGUAAUACGAAGGGUGCAAGCGUUAAGCGGAAUUACUGGGCGUAAAGCGCGCGUAGGUGGUUCAGUAAGUUGGAAGUGAAAUCCCCGGGCUCAACCUGGGAACUGCUUUCAAAACUGCUGAGCUAGAGUACGGUAGAGGGUGGUGGAAUUUCCUGUGUAGCGGUGAAAUGCGUAGAUAUAGGAAGGAACACCAGUGGCGAAGGCGACCACCUGGACUGAUACUGACACUGAGGUGCGAAAGCGUGGGGAGCAAACAGGAUUAGAUACCCGUGUAGUCC
rnacentral:rRNA from 1 species